rnacentral:rRNA from 1 species
UGACGGAGCAACGCCGCGUGAGUGAUGAAGGUUUUCGGAUCGUAAAGCUCUGUUGUUAGGGAAGAACAAGUGCCGUUCAAAUAGGGCGGCACCUUGACGGUACCUAACCAGAAAGCCACGGCUAACUACGUGCCAGCAGCCGCGGUAAUACGUAGGUGGCAAGCGUUGUCCGGAAUUAUUGGGCGUAAAGGGCUCGCAGGCGGUUUCUUAAGUCUGAUGUGAAAGCCCCCGGCUCAACCGGGGAGGGUCAUUGGAAACUGGGGAACUUGAGUGCAGAAGAGGAGAGUGGAAUUCCACGUGUAGCGGUGAAAUGCGUAGAGAUGUGGAGGAACACCAGUGGCGAAGGCGACUCUCUGGUCUGUAACUGACGCUGAGGAGCGAAAGCGUGGGGAGCGAACAGGAUUAGAUACCCUGGUAGUCCACGCCGUAAACGAUGAGUGCUAAGUGUUAGGGGGUUUCCGCCCCUUAGUGCUGCAGCUAACGCAUUAAGCACUCCGCCUGGGGAGUACGGUCGCAAGACUGAAACUCAAAGGAAUUGACGGGGGCCCGCACAAGCGGUGGAGCAUGUGGUUUAAUUCGAAGCAACGCGAAGAACCUUACCAGGUCUUGACAUCCUCUGACAAUCCUAGAGAUAGGACGUCCCCUUCGGGGGCAGAGUGACAGGUGGUGCAUGGUUGUCGUCAGCUCGUGUCGUGAGAUGUUGGGUUAAGUCCCGCAACGAGCGCAACCCUUGAUCUUAGUUGCCAGCAUUCAGUUGGGCACUCUAAGGUGACUGCCGGUGACAAACCGGAGGAAGGUGGGGAUGACGUCAAAUCAUCAUGCCCCUUAUGACCUGGGCUACACACGUGCUACAAUGGGCAGAACAAAGGGCAGCGAAACCGCGAGGUUAAGCCAAUCCCACAAAUCUGUUCUCAGUUCGGAUCGCAGUCUGCAACUCGACUGCGUGAAGCUGGAAUCGCUAGUAAUC